GUAGGUGAAUUUAUUGAUGACUAUAGUUUGUUUAACAAAACCAGUUAUUUAAAAAUGCAACUGCUUAUAUUUCUAUCCAGAAAGCUGCUCUAAAGGAUACAUAAAAAAUAUAUUCCCUUAUCUUAGUAAAACUUUUCUCAUCUGGAAAGUUGAGAAUGAAAGAAAAGAAAUGUAUAACUAGAUUUAUGAGCAGUGACACAGAAACAAAUGCAUUUCCUUUAGGCUAAGCUCCUCUAUCUCACAUCUCAGCUGCAGAUCUUAAAAACAAACUUCUUUUAAAAGUCUGGUUUUAUAUUUCUUCAUCUAUCUAUUUUCCCCAUGUGCUAUAUUUGGACUGGAGAAUAAAAAUCAGUAAAAGUAAAUAGUUACAAAAAUUGUAGUUAUUAAGUUAUUAAUUUUUUACAUUUUAAGUACCAGUAAAAAAUCGUUUUUUAACUUUUUUUGUUUUUUUAUGACAGGGUUUGCUCUGUCACCCAGGCUGGAGUUCAGUGGCACAAUCUUGGCUCACUGCAUCCCCGACCUCCUGAAGCUCAAGCAGUCCUCCCACCUCAGCCUCUUGAGUAGCUGAGACCACAGUUAAACCCAUAAACCAUACCCAGAAUAUUUUAUCAACAAGGCAUCCUGAAUAAUUCAUACUGGAUAAUAAAAGGGUCAAUCCAUGUCUCAACAGUAUCUCAACCUUCAAUGUCUUGCUGGAGUGCAGUGGCUAUUCACAGGUCCAAUCAUCGCACAGCCUCAAACUCCUGGGCUCAAUUUGUCCUCCUGCUUCAGUUCCCUGAGUAGUUGAGACUACAGGCACACGCCAUUUCUUGAAGUGGAAUGGGUGUGCUCUAGCAAAACAGAGACUGCGAUCUUCAACGUCUUCUGUCCUUCGGCUCCAGCAAAGUCUCCCCUCAUGUGCUGCCUCCUUCUCUGCUCUUCUUGAUUCAAUCAAGGACCCAGAUUGCUUUCUGCCUUGCCAGUCAAAAGUCCUCAACAAGUGGCCAUAUGAGCCUACCUUCCACAAAUCCACAAAUAUUAUUGAUAUAGUUUGAAUGUCCCCUCCAAAUCUCAUGUUGAGAUGUAAUCCCCAGUGUUGGAUGUGGGGCCUGGUGGGACGUGUUUUGGUCAUGGGGGCAGAUUUCUUAUAAAUGGUUUUGAAUCAUACCCUUGGUGCUGUCCUUGUGAUAGUGAGUAAGUGCUCAUGAGAUCUGGUUGUUUAAAAGGGUGUGGCGGGAGGGGAACAUCACACACUGGGGCCUGUCAGGGGGUGAGGGGGCUAUGGGAGGGAUAGCAUUAGGAGAAAUACCUAAUGUAGAUGACGGGUUGAUGGGUGCAGCAAACCACCACGGCACGUGUAUACCUAUGUAACAAACCUGCACUUUCUGCACAUGUACCCCAGAACUUAAAGUAUAAUUUUAAAAAAGUGUGUGGCAUCUUCCCCGUCACUCUCUCUUGCUCCUGCUCUAGCCAUGUGACUGCUCCUGCUUCACCAUCCAGCACAAGUAAAAACUUCCCGAGGCCUCCCCAGAAACUGAGCAGAUGCCAAUGCCAUGCUUCCUGUAUAUCCUGCAGAACCAUGACCCAAUUAAACCCCUUUUCUUCAUGAAUCACCCAGGCUCAGCUAUUUCUUCAUAGCAAUGCAAGAACGGCUUAAUACAAUCACCCCACUUUCAUUUCAUGUGUAUAUAAACACACACACACACACACACACACUGCAUCUUAUUUAACAAUGAGGCUUUUUUCAACUAUCUGUAACAAUGUACAAAAUAUGAAAAAUAUGUUUCCUAAGGUGGCAUUAAUCCCAAAAUGAUAAACUAUAGAAUAUUAAUCCCAGUAAAUUCCUUGGUGUGGAGGUGUGGAAACAGAGGGUGGGGAUGAAGCAACUUUCUUUAAAAGUUUUGGAAGUGUACAAUCACAAUAUAUAAUAGCAUAUAUCAAGAGUCCUGUAUGUUUCAUAAAUAAAUAUGUUUAAACUUGUAAAUCUAAUAUAUCCUAAAAGGACUCAUCCAUAAAUUUAUUUUUGUCAUCUAACACUACUAAGAUCCUUAUAAGAAAAAGUUACACGUGUACUCUUGCUUCAGUUAUAUAAAAUUGUUGCCUUUGACUUCAUGUGUUAUACCAUUUACUAUAUCCCGCAGCGCAUCUGAACUAAUUCACAGAGGACCUGGUUGGAGGCCUGGAGAAAAUCGGCAGUCUCACAUGUAAACUUCCAGUUUAUUGGGAUGAGCUAAAAGAGUGUAUUCUCGACAAAGUCUAGCAGGCUCAGCAAUGUGGGUUGCGUGUGGCUUCUCAGGACUCCUAGGUCCUCCUGGGCACACAUGCUUUGCUGGUGGCAAUGGCACUCCUCCUGUCCAAGGAGUUCUGCCACAUCCCCCUCCCGAGAAGGAGCUUGCCUUGCUUCUUUCAACCAUGUCACUUGGAACUCCAGCCUUUAGCAAGCCAUAGCAACUGGGAUCAAAGGAUUUAGAUAUCAGGUAAUAUUUAAGACGUAGAAGCAGAAGACAAUGCUACAAUGUAGGACAAUAAAAAUACUAUUUCAAAUGUGUCAUCUCUAUACUGGCCCCAAAAGAGGAAUGGUACGUUUAACGGAAGAGAAUUAUAUUACAAAUCAUGCUUAAAUAAUAAAAGCCAUCAUUUAAGAAAGAGUCUCCUCCAGAACUGUACUUAAAAUAAUUUAUUUGGGAUGCAAAAGUACUUUCAAUUGUCUCUAUUCAUCUUUACGGUCCUACCUUCAAGAGCUAGUUACAAAUCUCAUUCUGCAUUUUGUCAGCUACUUGAACCCAGCUCUCUCAUUUAUGAACUUGAACUUCAAUUCUAUAUUGUCAGAAUAGUGCAUUAUUACAGUGUUAGGAGUGUAUGUCUAUUUUAAUGGAAACUAUAUUUAUGAUUUCAAAUGAAAU
rnacentral:lncRNA from 1 species